rnacentral:rRNA from 1 species
AUGGCCCAUACUGCCUCUUACAAGAAAGUCAAGGCAUUCUCUCCGUCUGACCUCGAUGAUGCAAACAACUUCACCAACAUCUCCUCCCACGACAAGCUCGUGAAAUAUAGAGAUCAAGGGAAGGCGAGGAAAGGGGAGGACUUUAACCCGAGCCAGGGUCCCAUUGAUCCAGAGCUGGUGAUGAUAGCUGGUGGCGGGAGGUCCCAUGGCUCGAUAGCCAUUGGAGAUGGACUUGUCCAUUGUCCUAGCACUCUCCCGGAGAUCAAGGCGCGCCAGUCGAGAUCCGUUCCUGAGAUAAGGCCUCGUGAACGGCCAGUCCAAGUCGCCUUCAAGGCUGCUAUACAGAGUGAGAGAGAUAGAACGGAGAAACUUCUGUCGGAGGCGGCGGAGAGGCAGCGGGAGUUGGAGGAGAGGACGACAAAGAUGUUGGAGGAGAGGGCACGGAAUUACAUGCAGACAAGGGCAAUGUACGAGCUCCUUGUGUCUGUGUGCGAGAAGUCCAGUUAG